rnacentral:piRNA from 1 species
UGCAGGGUGAUAGUGACUGGGUUAGG